rnacentral:lncRNA from 1 species
AUUUAUUGUUAUUUCCUUUUUAGUUGUUUAUUUUUCUUUUUAGUAUAAUGCAUGAGUCUGACGAGUCACCAAAUAUAGUAGAUCUUUAGUACAAUCCUACCUCCCCAUACCUUUAGCCCCACCAAAAUUUUUGCAAAAGAAAAUAGUGUUAUUUCGAAAGUUUUCAGGUUUUAAGGACAUGUUUUGAGUAAGGAUGCGGUGACUUGGGAGAACUUUGCGAAACAUCAGUAUCUA